CCGCCAGACUCCUACGGGAGGCAGCAGUGAGGAAUAUUGGUCAAUGGUCGGGAGACUGAACCAGCCAAGCCGCGUGAGGGAGGAAGGUACAGAGUAUCGUAAACCUCUUUUGUCAGGGAACAAAGGCGGGGACGUGUCCCCGGAUGAGUGUACCUGAAGAAAAAGCAUCGGCUAACUCCGUGCCAGCAGCCGCGGUAAUACGGAGGAUGCGAGCGUUAUCCGGAUUUAUUGGGUUUAAAGGGAGCGUAGACGGCAAGGCAAGCCAGAAGUGAAAGGGCAGGGCUCAACCCUGUACAUGCUUUUGGAACUGUGGUGCUAGAGUGCAGGAGAGGUAAGUGGAAUUCCUAGUGUAGCGGUGAAAUGCGUAGAUAUUAGGAGGAACACCAGUGGCGAAGGCGGCUUUCUGGACUGUAACUGACACUGAGGUACGAAAGCGUGGGGAGCAAACAGGAUUAGAUACCCCGGUAUUC
rnacentral:rRNA from 1 species